AUGGCGGCGCCCAGGGGCGGCUCGGGCCCGGACAGCGACAGCGGCUCGGACUCGGAGAGCGGCGGGGAAGCGGCCGCGCGGUUCCGGGAGGCUGCCUGGGACUGCCCCGCCCUGGCGGCGGCGCGGGCGGAGCCGCACAGCGGGGGUUUUAGAAAGGAUCGGUUGCAGCCUAAAGAUCAGCCAAGCCUGAGGCGUGAGGCAAUCGGCCGCCAGGAGGGUGACAAUGAGCUCCAGACAACUCCAGAGUUCAGAGCACACGUUGCAAAGAAACUGGGAACCAUGCUAGACAGUUUCAUCACUGUCUUGAAGGACUCAUCAGGACCAUCCCAGACUUCACUGGCACAGUCUGACUCUGAAGAUGAUGGUUUUCGCCUCUUCUCUUCCUCUGUCCCUGGAGACUGUGGGAAGCCAGAGCCUUGCCCUGCAGCGAGGAGGAGGAGGCCAGUUAGCUCCAGUGACACUGACAGUGACCAAGAGUGGCAGAGGUGCCAGGAGGCUGCUGUGUCAGCUGCAGAUAUUCUGAAGCAAAGUGCUUUCCCUGCAUUGUCCCAGGAUCAGAGUCAGGGCUCUGUAGAGCCCAAACAGAAAAAGAAGAAGAAGAAAAUUAGGAGAGAGAAUAAUAUUCAAGAGAAAAUAAUAGACCCAGCAGAGUGUGACCAGAUCUGCAAAGAUUUGCCUCGGCUGGUGUCUGCAAAUGGCCAGCAGGACAGAACAGCAAUCACAGAGAGAACUCUGUGCUGCCAGGAUCUGUGAAGAAGAAAAAGAAGAAGAAGAAAAAAGAAUGAUGAUUUUGCUCUGCAAACAGCAGGUGGUUGUGAUGGGUGAAGGAAACUGAAAGAAAACCUAACAACAGGAGUUGCUGCAGAUGAGGGAAAAUUAAUUGGCAAAGCGUCUGUUCUGCAAGCUCAGUGGCCUGAGAGACUAAUUAAGGGACUUCCUGUGCUCCUGUGUCCCCGAGGAAGGGAACAUUGUUCUCCUCACACAGCAGUUGGCUGUGCUGCUGCUCAUGGAGGCCCAGUCUGAAAGGAUUAAAUGCUGUGCCAGACGUGCAUGGCAGAGGGAUGUGCUCAGAGCUGCAUUCCUCCUGCUCUGUCCCUUCACCUCUGAAACCCUUCUGCAGAAAGUGUGAGAUGAAUUCCAUUUGGUUUACAUGGCAACAGACAAACAGCUGUAAGGAAUCUUUAGUGAGAAUAAGCACCAAGAGGUUAAACAGUGGGACAAACCACCUUGAUAUCAGUUUUAGAACACAGACACAGAAGAUUUUCAGGACCUCAUGAAAGACUUAUUUUCUUCAGCAAGAGACCAGAAAUCCUGCAAAGUGGGAGAAGCCUUCAUUUCCCUGAGGUGGGUUCUGGAUUGCUGCUUUGGACCAGCCCCUGCUCAAGCAGAGGUUCAGAGCUGUGAGGUGCUCAGGACCAUGCCCGGCCCUUUCCUCUGGAGCUGCUGCACACCUCAGUGCAGAGGCAAGAUCUGCUCCGUGCCCAAAGCACCACGUCCCCUCCCUGCAGGGCGUUAACAAAGCUCUAAUGGAUACUGACGACUUUGUGUGGCUGAAAACGAAUGAGAAUCCCGAGUCCAUGUGAAAACAUUUGUUUGAAGAAACUUUCAUGUGAACAUUAACGUAAAGACAACUUCAGCUGCUAAAGAUGUUUUUGGGAUCAUACUCUUAAUAAAGAAUUGUGUUGCUUUUGCACCCAUCUCAAGAGAAUUUAAAGAAUGGAUUCCUUAUGCACCCAGAAGUCCUGAUGCUGCUGCUUCUGCUUGCCUUGAGGAUCUUCAGCUGUAGAAGCUUUUUUUUUUUUUUUUGAGACCAGUGACCUUUGAAGUGUAUAAAACCAGAAAUGCACAUCUGUUUGUAUGAUAGGACCUCCCUGAAUGCUACAACUGGAUGCCAUGUGGAGAAUGCUUAGCUGAACAAGGGAACAUUUCAAAUGCUGAGGAGGAGGUAAAUAUUCUCUAUCACUUUAUCAUGAAAGGAUUUUUCCCUUGGUCUAUUGGAAUUGUCCAUUUUAAACUACAGGAGCCUGGAUAAUUAGCAAAAAACCAAAUAAACUUACCCACUUUCAUCUUUCCAUUCAUUGGAACCUGCCAGGCUGUGCCAGAGAAUAGCUCAGCCCCACUAAGUAUUUCAGAGCCUCAGUGCAGGAAAACCAGUGAGCUUUUCAGUGUUUCUUAAAUGUUAGAAAUGUUAGUGGUCAGACUGAAAGGGAUUCCUGCUGUGAAUUAGCCAGCAUCCCUAUUUUAUAGCCUGGCACUAAGGAUUGCAAUAUCACAUUUCUCAGAUUUUAUUACAAGUGCAGUUCUGAGGUGAUGAGAGAACAGCAGAGGUCAAGGGUGGAAGUUAGAUUAUAGUUUUAUUGGAGGAAGAGCUCAGUUGCAGAGUGCCAUAAUCAGAAAAUGUUCUUCUGUAGCUGAAUUGUACUCAGGGAUUGUGCCUUGAGGAUGAAUAUUUGAAAUAAGGGGACUUGUGUUUCCUAUAUCCAUUUUUAUCUAUUACCAGUGCUUACUCUAUUUUGAUUUCCUUAAUUAUAACCAUUUCCAGGUUACACUUGAUUGAUUCUCGAGUCACUCUGAUUAAAAUGAUCUUGGUCAUUGUAACAGGGGAAACUUAAAGUUUGAAGACACCAAGAGAUACCUGCUUGUUUUUCUCAUGUUUGCAGUAUUUGGUUUUGUAUUAACUGUUCCAAAGUAAUCUCUUCUCCCCUAAUAAAGUGAGUGAAUUACUUAACACUGAAAA